rnacentral:rRNA from 1 species
AUUGAACGCUGGCGGCAGGCCUAACACAUGCAAGUCGAGCGGAGCGGCGGUCGGGUGAGUAAUGCCUAGGAAUCUGCCUGGUAGUGGGGGAUAACGUCCGGAAACGGGCGCUAAUACCGCAUACUAUCAGAUGAGCCUAGGUCGGAUUAUCUAGUUGGUGGGGUAAAGUCCUACCAAGGCGACGAUCCGUAACUGGGCUGAGAGGAUGAUCAGUCAAACUGGAACUGAGACACAGUACAGCCUCCAACGGGAGGCAGCGGAGGAGAAUAUUGGAAAAUGGGCGAAAGCCUGAUCCAGCCAGGCGGAAUGUGUAAAAAAGGUCUACGGAUUGUAAAGCACUUUAAGUUGGGAGGCGUUAGCGACAGAAUAAGCACCGGCUAACUUCGUGCCAGCAGCCGCGGUAAUAC